ACACCUGCAGCCAAUUUGCAGUCACCUGUUAACCUAAUGAGCUUGUCCUUGAGCUGUGUGAGGAAGCUAGAGUGCCUGGAGAAAGUUCACUGUGUUGACCAGAGUCUCUCUGGAGACAAGUGUCGUUUAGUCCAGUUAUAUUUGGGGGAAGGAGACAUUUCUGCAGCUGAGAGACUUCCACUAACUGCCUGAGCAUGUUGAAGCUCCUGCAUAUCACUGGUUUGUGGCUUCACUUCCUCCUUCCCUCUGUGCUCUGUGACAACUUGCUUUGCUUCUACAGCCCCAUGCUGGAGAAAGACAAGACACCCGAAUUUGUUGUGACAGAGUGCCCUCCCAGUAAGGUGUGCUUUAUGGCAGAUGGCCGCUACGGUAACCACAGCGUCCUGUCAGCCAGGGGUUGCAUGGCAAAAAAAGACUGCAGCCAGAAGCAAAAAGUCCACUUCAAGGGGACAACCUACACCGUGAGCUACAGCUGCUGUGAUCAGCCGCACUGUAACUCGUGCCUGAACAUCGCACUGGAACCCCUCUGUCUCACUUUAGCACUUGUAACAGUGUGGGUGAUGGUCGGUGAUGGUUUGUGAAUACAGACAUUUUGAUGAACAUGCUCAGAGGACUUGCUGCAGCCUGAGCCUGGAGUAAGGCUGAAGGUCUGCAGUGAUGUGGUGAACACCCAGUCUGAAGACACUGAGGUGUGCACUCCGGUGAAAGAGAGACUUUUAUCAUAAAUGUCUUAUUAAAUUUGGCUACAUAUCCAAGACGUACACCACCUCUUGUCCAUCAUCAUCAGCCAGGUUCCAGCCCACUACAACGGUUGGAUCAAUGGCUUAUUUUCUUUAAACAGGUGCUUUGUUUUUAAUAGGUCUCUGAAUAAAUAAAUAGUUGAAUAAAUUAUCAAAUUUGAUGCCUUUUGAAUGUUU